AGAUUGAACGCUGGCGGCAGGCCUAACACAUGCAAGUCGAGCGGCAGCACGGGUACUUGUACCGGGUGGCGAGCGGCGGACGGGUGAGUAAUGCCUAGGAAUCUGCCUGAUAGUGGGGGAUAACGUUCGGAAACGGACGCUAAUACCGCAUACGUCCUACGGGAGAAAGCGGGGGACCUUCGGGCCUCGCGCCAUUAGAUGAGCCUAGGUCGGAUUAGCUAGUUGGUGAGGUAAUGGCUCACCAAGGCGACGAUCCGUAACUGGUCUGAGAGGAUGAUCAGUCACACUGGGACUGAGACACGGUCCAGACUCCGUACGGGAGGCAGCAGGUGGGAA
rnacentral:rRNA from 1 species